rnacentral:lncRNA from 1 species
AACCGCCCAGCGGUUACCUAGUGCCUAAUAUCUAUAAAUACCCCCGGAUGAGACACAGGUAAGGGAUGAUUUUUUUUAGCUCCCAUUCUCGUUUUUAGCCAUCUGAUUUUCAAAUAUAUUCUUUCCAAGUCUGAAAACUAAUUCUCACGCCGGAGGUAAAACGGGAGAGAAAGCCCCGCCUUCAUUUUUCAGGUCUUGCAUACUUGACGGAGUGGUGGAAAAGCCAAACAUUACCG